rnacentral:rRNA from 1 species
UACGGAGGGUGCAAGCGUUAUCCGGAUUUACUGGGUUUAAAGGGUGCGUAGGCGGGCUUUUAAGUCAGCGGUGAAAUCUCCGGGCUCAACCCCGGAAAUUGCCGUUGAUACUAUUAGUCUUGAAUUAAGUUGAGGUGGGCGGAAUAUGUCAUGUAGCGGUGAAAUGCUUAGAUAUGACAUAGAACACCGAUUGCGAAGGCAGCUCGCUAAACUUAUAUUGACGCUGAGGCACGAAAGCGUGGGGAUCAAACAGG